CCCUUAGAUGUUCUGGGCCGCACGCGUGCUACACUGAGUGGAUCAGCGGGUCAGGUUGCGCGAAAGUGUUUCCUAAUCUUGAAAUCCGCUCGUGAUGGGGAUUGACGGUUGCAAUUUUCCGUCAUGAACGAGGAAUACCUUGUAAGCGCGGGUCAUCAUCCCGCGCUGAAUACGUCCCUGCCCUUUGUACACACCGCCCGUCGCUCCUACCGAUUGAGUGGUCCGGUGAGGCUUUGGGAUCUGAGCAAAAAGAGCGUUUCGCUCGUUUGUCUCGGAAAACUCAGUCGAACCUUAUCAUUUAGAGGAAGGAGAAGUCGUAACA
rnacentral:rRNA from 1 species